rnacentral:rRNA from 1 species
GUAGGGAAUCUUCCGCAAUGGACGAAAGUCUGACGGAGCAACGCCGCGUGAGUGAUGAAGGUUUUCGGAUCGUAAAACUCUGUUAUUAGGGAAGAACAAAUGUGUAAGUAACUGUGCACAUCUUGACGGUACCUAAUCAGAAAGCCACGGCUAACUACGUGCCAGCAGCCGCGGUAAUACGUAGGUGGCAAGCGUUAUCCGGAAUUAUUGGGCGUAAAGCGCGCGUAGGCGGUUUCUUAAGUCUGAUGUGAAAGCCCACGGCUCAACCGUGGAGGGUCAUUGGAAACUGGGAAACUUGAGUACAGAAGAGGAAAGUGGAAUUCCAUGUGUAGCGGUGAAAUGCGCAGAGAUAUGGAGGAACACCAGUGGCGAAGGCGACUUUCUGGUCUGUAACUGACGCUGAUGUGCGAAAGCGUGGGGAUCAAACAGGAUUAGAAACCCUAGUAGUCC